rnacentral:rRNA from 1 species
UGCGCAGGUGGGCUGGUAAGUUCGAUGUGAAAGCCCCGGGCUUAACCCGGGAAAGGCAUUGGAAACUACUGGUCUGGAGGAUUGGAGGGGGGACUGGAAUUCUUGGUGUAGCAGUGAAAUGCGUAGAUAUCAAGAGGAACACCAGUGGCGAAGGCGAGUCCCUGGACAAUUCCUGACACUGAGGCACGAAAGCUAGGGGAAGCAAACA